rnacentral:rRNA from 1 species
CCUACGGGGUGCAGCAGUGAGGAAUAUUGGUCAAUGGACGAGAGUCUGAACCAGCCAAGUAGCGUGAAGGAUGACUGCCCUAUGGGUUGUAAACUUCUUUUAUAUGGGAAUAAAACGUUCCACGUGUGGGACUUUGUAUGUACCAUAUGAAUAAGGAUCGGCUAACUCCGUGCCAGCAGCCGCGGUAAUACGGAGGAUCCGAGCGUUAUCCGGAUUUAUUGGGUUUAAAGGGAGCGUAGGUGGAUUGUUAAGUCAGUUGUUAAAGUUUGCGGCUCAACCGUAAAAUUGCAGUUGACACUGGCAGUCUUGAGUACAGUAGAGGUGGGCGGAAUUCGUGGUGUAGCGGUGAAAUGCUUAGAUAUCACGAAGAACUCCGAUUGCGAAGGCAGUUCACGGGACUGCAACUGACACUGAGGCUCGAAAGUGUGGGUAUCAAACAGGAUUAGAUACCCUAGUAGUC